UGGACCCUACGGGAGGCAGCAGUGAGGAAUAUUGGUCAAUGGGCGGAAGCCUGAACCAGCCACGUCGCGUGAGGGAAUAAGGCCCUGCGGGUCGUAAACCUCUUUUGCCGGGGAGCAAGGGCCGGGACGAGUCCCGGUCCGGAGAGUACCCGGAGAAAAAGCAUCGGCUAACUCCGUGCCAGCAGCCGCGGUAAUACGGAGGAUGCGAGCGUUAUCCGGAUUUAUUGGGUUUAAAGGGUGCGUAGGCGGGCUUUUAAGUCAGCGGUAAAAAUUCGGGGCUCAACCCCGUCCGGCCGUUGAAACUG
rnacentral:rRNA from 1 species